AUACGAAAGGUGCAAGCGUUGUUCGGAUUUACUGGGCGUAAAGAGAUCGUAGGUGGUUUGUUAAGUUGGAUGUGAAAUCCCGGGGCUCAACCUCGGAACUGCAUCCAAAACUGGCAGACUUGAGUUCGGGAGGGGUAAGCGGAAUUCCGUGUGUAGCAGUGAAAUGCGUAGAUAUACGGAGGAACACCUGAGGCGAAGGCGGCUUACUGGACCGAUACUGACACUGAGGAUCGAAAGCGUGGGUAGCAAACAGGAUUAGAAACCCGAGUAGUCC
rnacentral:rRNA from 1 species